UGUGCCAGGAAACGUGCUAAUUGCCAGGUGUGACACGUUAACCUCCUCUGGAGGAAGUGUGUGAGAAGCAGUUCAGCUGCUGGCUGAAGUGAAGUCACAGCCCUAGUAUGUGUAGGUGCUGUAUUACCAUUUGCAGAAGAAAGGAACCUGAUGCAAUCUUCAAGGUGCAGCAUGGCAAAGCUUUGUGAGAUGCUUUUUUCUGUGCUUUGCUUAAAAUGGUGGAAAACAAGUACUUGUUCAAGAAACAUUGGUGAUGCUUCUUACUGGAAUUGCUGAUGGAGUUAAGGCCUCAUCUUGCAAUAAAUGCUAUACAAAAUCCAUCAAGUGAAGCACAAGUAUAGCUUUGCUAUGCUAUUACAGAGCAAGUACUUUCAAAAGCAUCCAUUGGAGGACACUAGCACCCAACAAAUUACAGAUCAACGCAUACAAUGUUAUCUAAUGACUAUAAAUAGUCUUUUAUGGUUGAGCAGAGCAAGGAACUCACAAGAAGAUCCUCCAAGGGUAGCAGGUGCUGCUUGUGUGAGGGUUGCUGAUUGUGCAUUGCUCAGUGUUCUCAUCUGUUAUGAACAUUUGUCAUCUGCUGCUAUGAUCUCCAUCUUCCAGCUUAGUUAGUACGUACUGCUAAGCCCGCCGCUUCUGGAGAUGAAAAUGGCUUCUGGAGUGUUGUUGUCUUGUUAGUACAGCAAAGAAGGUCUAUGGGGAAGGUUACUGCAUGUGAGUGGCAUCAACCGGAACAGCCCCUCCAGGCUUGUGGGAUAUUGCUGACCUGCACUCUACACUCGUGCUAUUUGGGGUGAUCUGCCUGCUGGGAGAUAUGUGGACUAGUGAACUGGAUAAAUCAGCAUGUAAUUCUGUAGAUGAAAAAGGUUUCAGAUCUGCCUCCAAAAUUCCAGCUGCUCCUUCAGUUAAUCUCACUUCCCUUGCUGAUCCUGCCAGGAUACCUCAGGACAGUCCAAGGAUGUGCACAGGCAACUAUCUGAAUAAAGGAAAGAAGGAAUGUCUUUAUUUUGACUAUACUGGCUGAAGCUCUGUAGUAAAGGAGCAAUAAGGUUGGAAAUUGCAUAAUUCAUCAAUUUGGAAAUGCUUGUGUAGCCCAGUUCUGUUCUAUUUGUCUGCAUCACGAUA
rnacentral:lncRNA from 1 species